ensembl:misc_RNA Metazoa_SRP Metazoan signal recognition particle RNA
GCUGGGCGUGGUGUCACACGCCUAUAAUCCCAGCUACUCAGGAGGCAGAGGCAUGAGAAUCACUUGAGUCCAGGAGAUCAAGGCUGCAGUGAGCCAAGAUCGCACCACUGUACUCCGGCCUGGGCAACACAGUGAGACCCUGCCUCAA